CCUACGGGGCGCAGCAGUGAGGAAUAUUGGUCAAUGGACGAGCGUCUGAACCAGCCAAGUAGCGUGAAGGAUGACUGCCCUAUGGGUUGUAAACUUCUUUUAUCAAGGAAUAAAACGAGGCACGUGUGCCUUUUUGCAUGUACUUUAUGAAUAAGGCACGGCUAACUCCGUGCCAGCAGCCGCGGUAAUACGGAGGAUCCGAGCGUUAGCCGGAUUUAUUGGGUUUAAAGGGAGCGUAGAUGGGUUGUUAAGUCAGUUGUGAAAGUUUGCGGCUCAACCGUAAAAUUGCAAUUGAUACUGGCAGUCUAGAGUACAGGUGAGGUAGGCGGAAUGCGUGGUGUAGCGGUGAAAUGCUUAGAUAUCACGAAGAACCCCGAUUGCGAAGGCAGCUUACUAAACUGUGACUGACGUUGAUGCUCGAAAGUGUGGGUAUCAAACAGGAUUAGAUACCCUAGUAGUC
rnacentral:rRNA from 1 species